GUCUAGGGCCAUAUCACCGUGAACGCACCCGACCUUGUCUGAUCUCGGAAGCUAAGCACGGUCAGGCCUGGUUCAUACUAGGAUGGGAGACGUUGACUUGGCCAUCCUUCAGU
ensembl:rRNA 5S_rRNA 5S ribosomal RNA